AAAAAGCUCGUAGUUGGAUUUCUGCCGAGGACGACCGGUCCGCCCACUGGGUGAGCAUCUGGGACGACCUGGGCAUCCUUCCAGGGAAUGUGUCUGCUCUUGACUGAGUGGUGCAGUAUCUGGAACUUUUACUUUGAGGAAAUUAGAGUGCUCAAAGCAGGCUAAAAUGCCUGAAUAUUCGUGCAUGGAAUAAUAGAAUAGGAUGUCGAUCCUAUUUUGUUGGUUUUCGGGACUCGACAUAAUGAUAAAUAGGGACAGUCGGGGGCAUUUGUAUUCAAACGACAGAGGUGAAAUUCUUGGACCGUUUGAAGACAAACUACUGCGAAAGCAUUUGCCAAGAAUGUUUUCAUUAAUCAAGAACGAAAGUUAGAGGUUCAAAGGCGAUUAGAUACCGCCCUAGUUCUAACCAUAAACGAUGCCAGCUAGCGAUCUGCCUGCGUUUUUACUGUAGACUGGGCAGGAAGCUCCCGGGAAACCAAAGCAUUUGGGUUCCAGGGGAAGUAUGGUUGCAAAGCUGAAACUUAAAGGAAU
rnacentral:rRNA from 1 species